CCCAGCCGCAGCGCGGCCAGGGGCGGGGCCCGGCGGCCGGGGCGGAGCCCGCGGCGCAGCCUCGCCCCCGUCCCCGUCGCCUAGGCGACCGGCCGCGGGCGCUCCCGAGAGGCUCUGCGCGGCUCCGAAGCUUCUGCCGGCGCGGAAAUAAACAAGCACCGCGACUGCCCAACAGCGCCGAACCCUGCGCGCCCAGUCAAACCCAGGCCUUACGUACCGAGCAUGCGCAGUUCCCGCCCGAGCUGGGAGCAGAGUCAACCCGAGACUCCCACGUUCAGAAUUCGGCGGAGAUGCGAUGGUAGAGGGGCCAGAGCUACCUCCAAGCUUUACCCUGAGGCGAGGAGUGAAGGGGAGAGAUGCCCAAGGCCCAAGAGGGGCCGCGAGGGCCUUUGCCCGAUGCCACCCAGUCUGUCAGCACUUCUAGAGCUUUGGUUUUAUCUUGUAUUAGCAUGUGUAGCUUUAAGGGGACGGGCACCUACAGGCUUCUGCCUGAAGUUGUGUAAACGCAACAAAACGAAGCUUUCGAGUGUUAGGACAUUGAUAGGAGGGUGACAGCCCCUUCCGGCAGCGCGCCAGAGGGGCGAGCCAGAGUCCGCCACACACCACGGAAGUUGGGUCCAAGCCCGCUGAUGUCUCCAGGGUCCCGCCCACAUUUCUUCUGGAUCCGCCCCUUUCAGUGCCGAACUGCAGUGGAGCUCUUCCCACGCCCUGUCAGCCACUGGUGAAUUGAAAACCUGGAGAGCGGAACCCCAACCGGCAGCCGGAAGGCCCAGGGACACCUCAUAGCAACAGCCGGUUAGGGGCAUCUAGUGGGAAGCUGGGAUUCAUUCUAGCCAACCACGUCAUGUCUCUGCACCCCAUGGUACCAUUCACGACCAAUAAGAGAGCCCUCCCAUACCACGUGACUUUCCUCCUUCAACCAAUCGGGGAAAAAUCUGUCGCUGGAUCCGCAAGCACACCUCCCAGUGCCUUGCCAGGCGGGACGGUUCGCGCACGCUUUGCCAACCAAUUGUAGGUCCCUAGAUGUUGAGAAGCUCUGGACUGAAGCUGUCACAAAAAUAAGUGUAUUCCAGUGAUUGAUUUUCAUGCACUCGGAAGCACUUUGCCGAAGGCUGGAGCGACUGUUGACAUGCGCACCUACACUGUUCUUCUAUGAAUCUUUUUUUUUUCAAGUUAUUGUCUUUGUUGGAUCGUUUCUAGAAUGUUCUCACAUGCCAUGGGGAUUUGAAGCUUUAAAACUUUACAAUGUUUGAACUCUAAGAGCUAGUUCUUAGUCAUCAGUUGGUUUCAUUCAAGUUAACACCAAGAGUAGACGCUCUUUUCCUUCAUUCAAAGAAAAAAUAAGAUCAAGAAUAACUACAGAAAAGGACUAUCUGUAAUGGAAUGUGGGGCAGGUUAUGCAAAAAGAGGAAUAUUGGUGUUUGGAAGAGAUUUAAUGGAAGAGGAGGCUCAGGAGGGUGCUAAGGAGAGAGGACUGUUAGGACUGUUGGACGUUAACCCACCUGUAGCCCCUUAACAGUAUUUCCUCACAUAUUUAAUUCAGGCAGCUUCCAUGACCUCAAAGCAAACAAGGAGGACUUCUGCAUGAG